rnacentral:rRNA from 1 species
UACGUAGGUGGCAAGCGUUAUCCGGAUUUAUUGGGCGUAAAGGGAACGCAGGCGGUCUUUUAAGUCUGAUGUGAAAGCCUUCGGCUUAACCGGAGUAGUGCAUUGGAAACUGGGAGACUUGAGUGCAGAAGAGGAGAGUGGAACUCCAUGUGUAGCGGUGAAAUGCGUAGAUAUAUGGAGGAACACCGGUGGCGAAGGCGGCUUACUGGACUGUAACUGACGUUGAGGCUCGAAAGCGUGGGGAGCAAACAGG